rfam:Triticum aestivum genome assembly, contig: Triticum_aestivum_CS42_TGACv1_scaffold_644454_T_5DL-0.067519_1AL-0.045754
CAAAAACUCCCUCCGUCCGAAAAUACUUGUCAUCAAAAUGGAUAAAAAGGAAUGUAUCUAGAACUAAUAUACAUCUAGAUACAUCCUCUUCUAUUCAUUUUGAUGACCGGACGGAGGGAGUACGAU